rnacentral:rRNA from 1 species
GAUGAACGCUGGCGGCGUGCCUAAUACAUGCAAGUCGAGCGAACAGAUGGGGAGCUUGCUCCUCUGACUGUAGCGGCGGACGGGUGAGUAACACGUGGAUAAACUAGCUAUAAGACUGGGAUAACUUCGGGAAACCGGAGCUAAUACCGGAUAAUAUAUUGAACCGCAUGGUUCAAGAGUGAAAGACGGUUUUGCUGUCACUUAGAGAUGGACCGGCGCCGCAUUAGCUAGUUGGUAAGGUAACGGCUUACCAAGGCAACGAUGCGUAGCCGACCUGAGAGGAUGAUCAGCCACACUGGAACUGAGACACGGUCCAGACUCCUACGGGAGGCAGCAGUAGGGAAUCUUGCGCAAUGGGCGAAAGCCUGACGGAGCAACGCCGCGUGAGUGAUGAAGGUCUUCGGAUCGUAAAACUCUGUUAUUAGGGAAGAACAAAUGCGUAAGUAACUAUGCACGUCUUGACGGUACCGAAACAGAAAGCCACGGCUAACUACGUG